rnacentral:lncRNA from 1 species
UUUUCCUUUUUGGUGGUAUCUUUGUCUGGUUUUGGAAUUAGGGUGAUGUUGGCAUCAUAGAAUGUCUUUGGGAGUGUUUCUUCUCCUUCAGCCUUUUGAAAAAGUUUAAGGAGGAUGGGUAUAAGUUCCCCUUUGUAUGUUUGGUGGAAUUCACCAGUGAAGCCAUCUGGUCCUGGACUUUUAUUUGUAGGGAGUGUUUUUAUGAAAUAUUCAAUUCAUUUCUAGUGACCGGUCUGUUCAGUUGAUCUGUUUCUUCUUGAUUCAGUUUUGGCAGGCUGUAGGUCUCUAGAAAGUUGUCCAUUUCUUCUAGGUUGUCAAAUUUGUUAGCAUACACUUGUUCAUAGUAUUCUCUCAUAGUUUUUUGUAUUUCCGUAGUAUCCAUUGUAAUCGGUACUAUUUUAUUCUCCAUUUUAUGGAUGAGGAAACAAAGACUCAACAAGGUCAAAUGGCUUGCUCAAGGUCACACAGCUAAUAAGAUGUUGAGCUAGGUUUAGAAGGAUUACAUGAUGAGCUGUGCUUUCUUAGACACGAUGUUUUAAAAUUUUUAUUAAAGCAUAGUUGAUUUAUAAUGUUGAUCUUUUAACAAAACCUUUUAAAAUCUAUGUAAAUCGAAUCACGGAUAAGUGUUAGGGAGAGACACUAGAAGGUAUUAAGGGAUGAAAGAGGACUGGAUAAGGACAAAAUAGAGAAAGGGACAAUCCCCAUCUAUACCCAAACCCCCCAGCUCCCCUCCUGGGGAGCAGGAGAAAUAGGAUGCAGUGGACACAGAAAUGCAGGGUUAUGCUGCUUAGUACCCUGGGAAUAGCUGGUCCUGUACAGAGAGAGGCCUCUAAGAGUUCAUGAUGGGUACUAUUUUUAAUGAGUUGGAGAAGGAGAAACACUAUCGGAAAGAACCUGCGUUCAAAGACUCAGGAGAGGAGGGGCCAUGCCCCCCUGUGCUUGCCUGGACCCAUCCUGUCUUCCUGCUUCCUUUUCCCAUGACCCCCUCCCCCUUGCCAUCCCUGUCCUCCUGGCUUCCCUCCCAUUCAGAGCUGGUUGUUCCAGUAACCAACCAUCCCUUGUCUGACAGUAAAGCCUAAAUGUAUUCUUGACAGAGUGCGGUCAAAUCCCUUUACUCUUAGUUUCAAUAAAGUCAAGGUUACUUGAUUGACACCCACUAGAAAGUGCCAGCCUCCCUUUUCUUUUCCAGUUUGAGCUUCAUCUCAGCAUCUUUGCCCAGAUCACACAUUUACUGAGAUGAGAAGAAUGAGCAUUAUGGGAUGAUAUGGUAGGAAGGAAAUUGUUGCUGGAAACAGAAUUAAAAUGAAAAUGAGAAGGAAAAUAUAGGGAUGCAUUAUUAUUUCAAGAGCCCAGAACUGUUCAAGGAAAAAUAUAAAAACAAGUGAUCAUUUUCAAAGGUCUGAAUGAUUUUGUCUUAAACUAGAAGAAGAGUCCUUUCCCCAUCCACUUCUUUCUUCAACUCCAGAAACUGGAUCUUGUGAAAACGCAGACAUUUCAAGGUCACCUCUUAUUGACAAAAGCAGUGGUCAUGGUCUGACAUGCACCUGGGCUGGCACUCCUCUUUUGGUCCCCUUGUCAAGUAAUAAACAGCAUAUGGUGAUAUAUAAUACAUGCGGAGUAUACUGCAUGGUGUAUGUGUGUAUGUAUGCAAAUGUAUGGUGGAUCUGUAAUACCUGUACCAAGUACAUGCCUUUGGGGAGCCAAACUGCAAAAUUAACCAAUACUGCAAUGGGGGUCCUAGGCAUUAACAUUUUUUUAUUAUAAGCAAUGGAGCUUUGUCUCAGAAAAAAGCAGAGAGGAAGCAAGGCUUAAAAUGUGCAGGGCUUCUGGAUCCUAGAAGCCAUAUCCUGGCCCCUGGACUAUUGAAUGUGAAUUCUCCAUUUCCAAAAUAAAGAAGAGCCAACUUUGAGUUCUUGUGAAGGUAAUUUUCAAACUCCUAUCUGACUGGAAACAAUUCCUAACAGCCACCUACCCUCUGCUCUUCAGUACAUUCUGGUUCACGGAGACAGCACGGUGCUUGGCCUGAGGUCUGGUGCAUUUGCUGCAGAAAACCCUCACACUGCAAACAGUUGCUUCUCAAGAUUGUAAAACCGGGACAAUAGUCAGAAAAAGCUGUGUUUUGGUUUGAUUUUUUUUAAAAGGAGGAUGUCCCUGAAAUAGAAGAGUAUGGCUGUCACUUGAUUUACAAUUGAUAGCUGUUUGUGACAGCAAACAGGAUGUCAGGCUCUGUCCCUCUCAGAGGGCGUAUAAAUCACAGGCAGUGCUCUGGCCACCGAACAGCAGCUGAGAGAGACCUGUUCCCCGAGUAGUUGACGAGCAGGAUGAGAUGACCGUUAUCCUUGAAGCUGAAGACAGGCAGGACAAUGCUGAGCAAGGCUGGGAGGAUUUGAAUUCUUUAUCCAAUGACCAACACGAGGCUGGAGCUGAUGCAUCUCAGACACUUUGCAAACCUUCUCCCUUUCUGCCAACCCUUUCUUGUUUCUUAUGCGUCCAUUGGCUUGGCCCCGUGUGUGGUAUAUCUGGACCAAAGCAUUUCCUGUACUUUAAGAGUUCAAAUGAUUUGGCUCCUCGUAAGAUUAUCAUUCCUUGGUUUGUGACUCUCUUCUGUCUCAUACUAGCUGGGCUGCCUGGAGCUCCAUUCUCUGGUGUGGGGUGCUCUCGAGUCCAGUUUUAUGAGCACCAUUAGCCUAGGAGACAAGAAGACAGCCACAAAGAGAAAAAAAAAAAAAAAGCCUUUUCUAUACCAAGGACAUCAUCAGAUAGUAAUUUUUUUUUAAAUGAUCAAAUGAGUAAUUAGUCUUAGAAGUGUUCAGCUUCACCCCACAAGGGAAUGGUCCCAGAAUAGGGCAGGCCUUGUGAGCUUUAUAUUGCAGAUCUUGUGUCUCUUAGAGGAAAAAUGAUUUAAAAAAAAAAUGUUAUAUAAAUUAAACCUUGGUAGUUAUCUCGCCAGAGGUGAUACAUUUGAAAUUUUAAGUCUCUUUUUUUUUUUUAAUCUAAUCACUAUGCAACCGUCGUUUUGUGACCUUAGGCAAAUCACUUAACCUCUCGGUGGCUCACAUUUCCUCUUCUGCCACGCGUGCACAUUGGUGUCAGCAAGCAUGAAAAUGGUCAUGAAACACUUGCAAAAUAUUGAGGGAAGAGAGUGUCUUUCUUUUGUAAGAGGUGGCCACCGAUCUGAAAUUCGGCACAUCGUGGGCCAUGCAGUAAAUGUUUACUGUAUGUAAUGAGGAAUGCAGGAAUGACCCAGCUGUGCUUUGCCAGCGUUCUCAUGCGGGCAGCCUGCCAGCUCCCUAGAGGCAACGUUCUCUUCCUAGAACAUUACCCAGUCACCCCAACUCAGUGGCCUCUGGACCAGUGUUCCCUCCCCACUCCUUCCCUUCGCUUUCCCUUCCUCUCUCUCUCAUUCCCAGGUCCUUCUCAGGAUGCUUCUGUCUGUUCAAUCCGUUGUUGCCCAAACCACUCCCAACUACCACGCCUCUCUCCUUCCACUCCUCAUGCAAAGGAGUCCUUCAGGGCAUGUCCGUGAGGACAAGACAGUCCACAUGGAUGGUCCUUAUGCAAAGAGCCCAGGGAACAAAUAUCAGCGUCAGGCAGUGGUGCCCCAGCUGACCUUCAGUAACAACCCCUCACCAACAACUGACUCAGUAAAGACCAAAGCACAUUUUUCAAACACGCAACAUUCGUGACCUCCAGUGACACUUCUGGAAUAGGUGAUCACAUGGACAAGAGAAAAGAGAAAAGUUCUUUGGGCUCCAGGGGACCUGUAAUUCGCUGCUUCAUAAAACUUAAUGAACAUCCCAGGGGGCAAGUUAGCCUGUGGUGUUGUGUGGACACAACCUCAAAGUCCGUUUUAGGCUCUAUAAGGCUUCUCCCAGUCUUAGUUUCCAGAGCAAAACAAUGGGAUUAUUGUUAUUUUAAAACAAUUGAAACAAUUCCUUUCUUUUUGUGGCUAAUUGGUUAAUUCUUCCUUGAAUAGUCAAAUAUUCACAGAGUCUCCUGGUUACAGUUAUAGCCUUCAUGUCCCAUUUGAGCUUAAAUUCCAAACUUCCACACACUCGGAAGAAAGGACAAAAAUAGUAGAACAGCAUCGGCCAAACAGAGGCGGCUUUGUGGGCAAUAUAAUGGGAGUAAAUUUCUAAACAGACAGGAAAGCCGACCAACUACAGAGGCCUGACCAUGUCACUCUUUGGCUCCGACACAAAGUCUGGGCUGAAAUGUCUCCCAGGACGUAAUAGGCUGGCAGCUGCAAGAGCUCCAGUGAGGCAACGAGAGGAUGGAAUCAGAGCUGCCGGGCUGGAAGGAAACACUGAUCUGUGUGCUGAAACCGAGGGCUUGGGAAGUGACCAAAACGAAAUGCUUUGCCUGUGAGCAAGAGCCCUUCCAGAGCCGGAAAGAAAGGUUUUGAUGCUUGGUAUUCAGGAAAUAGGGACCUGGUUUGGUAGGUCACUUAACUGGCACCACCAAAAACCAGAUUGCAUUCUUUCUUUUAGUUCAAAAAGGGCACAAGCAUUUCAGCACUGAGAUAUUUUUAAAAUGCCUCUUUCUCACUAGUUCAGUCUUAAAUUCCUUUGCGUGGUUUUUUUUUUUUUUAAAGACUAAUUUUCAGGAAUCUACCCUCUUUCCCACUGAUCUUAAAUAAAAAUGCUCUGGAAACCACAAAGAGAGUGUAGAAAAGGCACACCAAGGUCCGAAUUGCCUCAGCUCUAAAGGGGCACCCGUCCUUACACACAGACAAUGUUGUAUGGCAAUUAUACCUCAGUAAAAAUGGGAAAAGAUGCUUGUGGAUUAAAGGAUCAGGCGUUACCACUGGGGCUCAUAUUCAGUCCUUGGCCUGGGAACUUCCAUAUGCCCAGGGUACGGCCAUUAAAAAAGAAAAAGAAAAUAAAAGAGUGAUUCU